UUGACGGUACCCUACUAGAAAGGAGCCGCUAACUUCGUGCCAGAAGCGUCGGUAAUACGGGGGCUCCAAGCGUUAUCCGGUGUUAUUGGGCGUAAAGAGUCGUGUAGGUGGUUGGGUAAGUUAUCUUUCAAAUAUCUUUGCUUAACAAAGAGGAGGGGGAUAAUACUGCUCGACUAGAAUUUUCUCAAGGGAGAUCGGAACUGAGGGAGGAGUAGUGAAAUGCGUUGAUACCCUCGGGAACACCAGUGGCGUAGGCGGAUCUCUGGGAGAAGAUUGACACUGAGACACGAAAGCUAGGGGAGCGAAGCAGAUUAGAGACCUGCGUAGUCCUAGCCGUAAACGCAUGCUUGCUAGCUGCAUGAAUCUACCUUCGGGUGGUAUCGUGUGGCGAAGGUAACCCGUUAAGCAAGCCGCCUGGAAAGUACGGCCGCAAGGCUGAAAUUCAAAGGAAUUGGCGGGGAGGCACACAACCAGUGGAACAUGUGGUUUAAUUCGAGACUAACCGAAGAACCUCACCAGGGUUUGACAUGUAGCUGCACGUCUUAAGAAAUUAAGACUCUCUUGAAGGUGCUACACAGGUGCUGCAUGGCUGUCGUCAGCUCGUUCCGUGAGGAGUGCCCUUAAGUGGGACAACGAGCGCAACCCCUAUUACAUGUUAGAAAUGUCAUGUAAGACUGCCUUGCCAUUUGGCGGGGAGGAAGGAGGGGCAGACGUCAAGUCCGCAUGGUCCUUAUGCCCUGGGCUACACACAUGUUACAAUGAGUACGGCAAUGAGUCUGUCGCGAGCACGUAAGUGUAAGCUAAUCUCUUAAAUGUACUCUCAGUGGGGAUUGAGGUCUGCAACUCGACCUCAUGAACACGGAAUUGGUAGUAAUCGCGGGUCAGCUAUACCGCGGUGAUACGUUCUUGCCUCUUGCACACACCGCCCGUCAAACCAGCAAAGU
rnacentral:rRNA from 1 species